GGGGAAUAUUGCGUAAUGGGGGAAACCCUGACGCAGCAACGCCGCGUGAAGGAUGAAGGUUUUCGGAUUGUAAACUUCUUUGAUGAGGGACGAAUAAUGACGGUACCUCAAAAACAAGCCACGGCUAACUACGUGCCAGCAGCCGCGGUAAUACGUAGGUGGCGAGCGUUGUCCGGAAUUACUGGGUGUAAAGGGCGUGUAGGCGGGGAUGUAAGUCAGAUGUGAAAUUCCACGGCUUAACUGUGGCGCUGCAUCUGAAACUAUAUCUCUUGAGUGCUGGAGAGGAAAGCGGAAUUCCUAGUGUAGCGGCGAAAUGCGUAGAUAUUAGGAGGAACACCAGUGGCGAAGGCGGCUUUCUGGACAGUAACUGACGCUGAGGCGCGAAAGCGUGGGGAGCAAAC
rnacentral:rRNA from 1 species